GUCUUAUUGAAAUUAAUUUUAAGUCAAACCUGCUCAAUGAAAUUUUUAAAUAGCUGCAGUAUCUCUAACUGUACAAAGGUAGCAUAAUAAUUAGAUUUUUAAUUGUAAUCUUGAAUGAAUGGUUUAAUGAAAUAUUAACUGUCUCAAAUAAAAUAACUAAACUUAUUAUUUAAGUUAAAAAACUUAAAUAAACUUAAAAGACGAGAAGACCCUAUAGAAUUUUAUAUUAAUUUAAAUAAUAAAAAUUACUACUUAUAAAAUAUAAUUAAAUUAAUAUUUAAUUGGGGCAAUUUUUAAAUUUAAUAAACUUUAAAUUAUUAAAUACAAUAAUAAUUGAAUUUAUAUUCUUAUAUUAUAAUAUAACAAAAUUAAUUACCUUAGGGAUAACAGCAUAAUUUUUUUUUUUAGAUCUUAUAAAUAAAAAAGAUUAUGACCUCGAUGUUGAAUUAAGAAAUAAUUAAAUAGAAAAAAAUUUAAAAUUUAAGUCUGUUCGACUUUUAAAAUCUUACAU
rnacentral:rRNA from 1 species